GGAUCAAAGGCAUUGCGAAUUCUUUUCAUUUGGAGGCUUAUUCUGAGACUCUGGUUUUGCUUGAUGGCAUCAAUGAGAUCUUAGGACAGACAAGUUCCUGCAAAUUACAGUGAUUCACAUAAAGUUGAACCUUAAAAUUAUAGAGAGUUGUGAGAGCCUCUUGAAGGUUAAAUGAAGGCUGCAUAUGGUACAUUACCCUUCCACAAUCCUUUCAAAAUCAGGUUUCUUAUGUUUAC
rnacentral:misc_RNA from 1 species